rnacentral:pre_miRNA from 1 species
ACGGGUAUUCUCAAGGGAAUAGCAUACCAUCUAAGACUGUUAUUGCUUGAGAAUACACGUAG